CUGCACUACUUGGGGAGAUAGCGGUGCCCUGUUACCCGCAAUCCGCUACAGCGGGGAGGAAUUCCCGACCGAGGGUGUAUGCUGUGUCGUCUGACCCGGAUAAGCGGUGUUGAAGAUCUGGUCUUGCGCAAUAGGGCUCUGUGAACCGUGUCAGGUGGGGAACCAAGCAGCACUAAGCAGUCUACCCUGUGUGCCGCAAGGUUGCCGUUUCGGAGCUGGCUGUCCGGGUAACGGGUGUAGCAUCCAUUCGGAGAAGGGUGUGCAG
rfam:Firmicutes bacterium CAG:124 genomic scaffold, scf160